ACAGCCUCGGGCGCUGCCAUCGCCGCCGCCAUCUUCGCGCCGCCCCGACGCUUCCAGCGCCCCGCCCCGCUGACCACGCCCCUUCACCGAGCGUACCGGAAGCCCCAGAGACCCCGGCCGGAAGCGCCCCCUCCUGUCCACCCUAUCAACGCCCUCCGGGAGACAGCAGAGAGCGGAGACGCCCCGUCCUGAGGAGCUGAAGCCCUGCCAAAAUUCCAUUCAUUCAUUCAUGCGCUCAUUCAUCCUUCCAGGGACACUUCCCGACGUUCUGUCCCGCAAAGUCCUCCUGUAGCAGCGGUUCCACACAGAACCGGAGUCUGAGAUGCUGGGCCGCAGACAUCACUGCAGAAAGCUUGGGUUCCCCUUGGACUGUGCGACUCCCACCCACGGCGCCUGGAACAGCCUCACUCCAAUCGUCCACCCCAUGUCAAAUGUCUAAACUGCUGUGCAGACCAAGAAUGCCAGGGGCUGCCCUCGCCAGUGAGCCCCUGUCUCUGUGCUUGGGCAUUCCCAAGGAGGCUGAGGCAGGGGGACCAGAAGGUCACAGUCAGCCUCAGUUACCUAGCAAAUACGGGCUACAUCAGUCUCUGCAUCAAAAAGAAACAAUCAAAAAAGACAAACUCAUUCUUUAAUCCCAGCACUCGGGAGGCAGAGGCAGGCGGAUCUCUGUGAGUUUGAGGCCAGCCUGGUCUACAGAUCGAGUGCCAGGACGGCCAGGGCUGCAGAGAAUAUUUCAAAACAAACAAAAAAUAAGCAAAAUGCAAAUCAGGGCUGAGGAGAAGAGGUCUAGGAGGCGGAGCCAGGCCCCUGCUGAUGUCCUGUCCGGCCUUGUCUAAGCCAACUUCCUCCUUGGUCAGUGUGUAGCAACAGCCAUGGCCUCAUGCCAUGGUCCGGGGCUCCUGGAUACCAAUUUCCUUGUCUUUUUGGCUCUGUGUGCUUCCCAGAUCCUGACUCCUCCUGUGGCUGCUCAGCCUGUAACUUCCUCUGUUUUAACAGAAACAGAACUGGACUUGAUGGUGCAUCCGGUCACCCCAGACUCCUCACAGAAGACUGAGGUAGGGGCAUUGUGGAGAGUCUGAGGCCAUGUCAGGCUAUAGAGCAAGCCGAAGGAUAGCCUGGGCUGUGUAGGAAGUCAUCCGGAGUGGAGAGGGUCCCAGGCCAGCCUGUGGUAAUCCUUUGAAACCAACACAGAUGGCUCAGCAGCUAAGAACUCUUAAUGCUCUUGCAGAGACCCGAGUUAAUCCCAGCCCCCACAUCGCAGGUCCCAACUGCCUGGAACGCCCGCUCCAAGGAAUCUACCGCCGCUUCUGUCCUUCAUGGCUGCGCAUACUAAGACUUCUUUAAAGCAAAACUCAAAGAGACGGCUACGUUGGCUCGCCUUUAUUUCCUAGCACAUGGGGGGGCAGAGGAAGGCAGAUUUUCUGGUCAGCCUGGACUACAAAGAAAAUCCCCAGCCAUUUAAGGCUACAGGGCGACCCCACCAAAAAACCAGGGAGCUGGAGAAGCGCUGAAAACCAGCAGCUUUUCGAUGCUUCUGUCCCGUGCAGGGGACACAGGGAAAGUUUGCAGCACGGACCCAGCAGCCCGUUCCGUUUGUUCCAGCUCUUCCUACGUCACCAGUCCCUCGGGAUUUGAACCCAGGAGCUGAAGUUUGCACUCUUCCAGAUGCCCAAGGGCCCUUUGUUUCCCUUCUUUCUCUGCUCAAACCGUCGAGUCUCCUGCCUCAGCCUUCCGGCUUUGGGCGAGGCAGGCCCGGGGCUUCGCACCUGUGGUGAGUGCUGAUGUUCUGAUCCCCAAGCCGCUCGCUCAGAACAUCUCCACCAGGAGUCAGCUGGGGAAAGGCCCUCAUUAACUUUGCAGACCAAUGGCUCGAGUCUUCUGUAAAACUCUCAAAAUAAGCCUUGUGUCCUUGAGUUUUUCUGUCCCUGGAGUUCGGGGUCCAGGCGUGGGGAGUGCAAGGCUCUUCGAGAGACGAUGAAUCGCUGGUCAGUCCUGAAAUCCUAAACUUUGGAACUGAGGUCACACCCUCACCUCUGUCCACAUCUAGAUGCAGCUAACUAAUGGGUCAGCCGGGGAGGGGGUUGGGGGAGGGGAGCGAGCGACCGAGGAAACUCUGAGCCCUCGGGCAGACAUUCUGUCUGCAACAAGUAGUUCAGUCACUCUCCACCUCAGCGGACAGACAGGUCCCAGCCUCCACAGGACCACGUGUCAGCUUCUGAGCCACGCCCCCAGCCCCUCCCCCUGGGAUCACAGGCUGUCACUCUACCCCUGACCCAUGCCCCCAGCACCUCCAAAGAGGGUUUUCGUCAUCCAUGGAUCAGGCUUCCCUGGAACUUAAAAUGUUCCCGCCUCCAUCUCCCAAAGAUGGGCUGGCAGAUAUGGGACACCAAGCUCAACCCUGCUGAGCUUUGGAAGCAAUUGCUAUCACUGUGACAGCGACCACAGCUUUCUUUAUUCCCGGAGUCCACGUCCCACGCUUUUCCAAUCCCAUCACCACCAGCUUCAUGUCGCCCCCUGCCGGCCGCUGGAAGAAUUGCCGGCUGAGCCCGAGGCCACGCCCCCCUCAGUCUGCACCAAUCGGGAGCUGCAGGAACUCACGGCUUUGGCCUGACCUCACCGCCUUCACAAACAGCACCUUCAGUGUUUCUGUGUUCCUGAGAGAGGCCGCACUCCCUCGGGCAGUGAAGCAUCCAGGCUGGCUUGUGUUUCUCUGCAUGUUCCUUUAGAAGUCAAGGAGGCAUGUAAACCGGACAGGACAGUUGCUCUUAGGCAUUCAUCUUGUGUGCCCUGUACGACUUGCAAACAUCACUGUAUCCCAGCAACGACAACUGUAUUGAUGCUACCAUCGCCACUAUACUCUGUUUCUGAUUAAAGUAUAAAAAGUC